GCCCCCACCCCCCCGAGGGCCCGCGCCGCCUUCCUGCUGCACUGCCUGCUCAGGGAGCACCCCCGCCUCAAAGCCCCCCUGGUGCAGCAGGGCCUGGUGCCUCGGGCGGCGGCGCUGCUGCGCUUCGAGCACGACGGGGUCCACGAGCACGGCCUGGGGGUCCUCUGCAGCCUGCCCUCAGGCUGCUCCGAGGGGCUGCGGGAGUGCCGGGACCCCGUUUUGGGG